rnacentral:lncRNA from 1 species
AAAUAGUGGGCAUUGGAUUCUUACAAUCAUUCAAGUUGAAAAAGGACAAGCUUUUCUAAUGGAUCCUGUCAGUCAUCGUAAUAAGGACAUCAUAUGGAAGUCUGUCGUCGACACGUAAGUUUUGAAUUAUACAACUAAUUAAUCAUCUCUUUCAUUUUAUUUGAUGUUAAUGUUAACUUUAUAUAAAUUUCCUUUCAAGUGCGAUAAGUAUGGUCACUGCAAAAAAGGGAAAGAAAAUGAAAAAAGCAACUUGGGAAGUUAUAAAGGUAUGUAUGCUUAAUUUACUGACAGUUUUGGGCAGUUUAUUUGAUGUUAAUGUUAACGUUAUAUAAAUUCUUUCAUGUUUUUGUUGGAUAGUUGGUAAAAUGCAGCCUAACCAUUUUAUUUCUGUAAUAAUUAUAGGGUCCUACACAACCUGAUGACAAGCAAUGUGGUUAUUUUGUGAUGAGGUUUAUGAGAGAUAUUAUCGAAGGGUUUCAAAAUGCAGCAGCCUCUACUUUUCACUUGUCAUCACUGGUAUUAAAUAUAUAUACUUGAAUAUUGUAUAAACAUAUAUUAGUAGUUAUUAAUAAAAUAUAUUGGUGAUCUUGUUUGUAUUCGUAGUUUAAAGGAGUUACUACUUAUUCUCAAAAUCAACUCAACGAGGUCCGUGAAGAAUGGGCAACAUGUGUGAUAAAGCAUGCAUUGGAUGGAUAGGUACGUUUAAAGUUUAAUUAUUCUGAGUGGUAUGUCAAUUUUUUGAGGGAAAUGUUUAUGAUGUAUUGAGCUCGGGGGAGUUGGAAUGCCUCCUUACUUUUUUGGUUGUGGGAGAUUGAAUGGUCUUCGCUUGGUUUAGCUUUCAAGUUAAUGAAUGCUUUAUCAUUCGUCACUUUUCGAUGUGGUUGCAAACUCGUGUUUCUUGUUUCUGACAAGUACUGUUAACUGUUGUAUUAUCCUACAGAUGUUUUACAUGAAGCGAAAUAGAGACGUGACGGGAGAAAGGUUAUUUCAAUCGAGAUGGCUAUCUAUCAAGCUAGUAGCAUCAUUUUGUAGACUUUGUUUGCACGCACGAUUGAUAGAACAUGUGUUUUUGUUAACUCUAUUUUGGAUGGUGAUUGCAUGAAAAUUUCGAAUAAUAUAUGAC